CCAACGUGGACACCCCAGGAGGUCACUCUACCUGGGCUCUGUCCUAGUGGCGUGGGGGAGCAUAGGCAUUGUCCAGUGACGUACGGUCCCUUUCCACAACGUUGGAGAUGAAGCUGGGCUUUGUGCCUGCGCCUGCAUAUUCCUACAACUUCUCAGAGUCCUGUGGACGAUGAACGAGGAGGCAAACCAUGCAGGAAACAGUC
ensembl:snoRNA SNORA73 Small nucleolar RNA SNORA73 family